UGCAGGAUAGCUCAGUCAGUAGAGCACAAGACUCUUAAUCUCAUGGUCGUAGGUUCAAGCCCAACAUUGGGCAA